UACAGAGGGGGCAAGCGUUAUUCGGAAUUAUUGGGCGUAAAGGGCGCGUAGGCGGCUUGGCAAGUGGAUGGUGAAAUCCCUCGGCUUAACCGGGGAACUGCGUGUGAUACUGGCGGGCUUGAAUUCGGGAGAGGGAUGUGGAAUUCCAGGUGUAGCGGUGCAAUGCGUAGAUAUCUGGAGGAACACCAGUGGCGAAGGCGACUUCCUGGCCUGUUCUUGACGCUGAGGCGCGAAAGCUAGGGGAGCAAACGGG
rnacentral:rRNA from 1 species